rnacentral:rRNA from 1 species
CCUACGGGAGGCAGCAGUGGGGGAUAUUGCACAAUGGGCGCAAGCCUGAUGCAGCAACGCCGCGUGCGGGAAGACGGCCUUCGGGUUGUAAACCUCUGUCCUUGGGAAGAAACAAAUGA